UCCCGUGUGGCUCAGUUGGUAGAGCAUGGUGUUUGCAAUGCCAGGGUUGUGGGUUUGAAUUCCCACGGGGG
rnacentral:tRNA from 1 species